GGGAAUGUGGCUUAGUGGUAGAGUGCUUGCCUAGCAUGCAUGAAGCCCUAGCUUCCAUUCCUC
rnacentral:tRNA from 1 species